GAGUCACCGAUGAGACACCGCCCUUUUCGUGCCGUAUAACUAACCGUCUCGAUGGGACACCGAUAGGUGGGCAGUUUGGGUGGGGCGCCACGCGCUCGAAAAGAUAACAAGCGCGCCCAAAGGUCAACUUAGGUAGGUCAGGAAUCUACUGAUAAGUGCAAAGGCAAAAGUUGGCUUGACAUGGUCCGGGACAAUAACGAACCAUGAUGCGAAAGCAAGGCUUAGCGAACCAAUGAACCUCAUUAGUGGGGGUCAUUGAUGACAGAAAAGUUACCCCGGGGAUAACUGAGUUGUCUUCAGCAAGAGCUCACAUCGACCUGAAGGCUUGCUACUUCGAUGUCGUCUCUUCCUAUCCUGGUAGUGCAGCAGCUGCCAAGGGUGGGGUUGUUCGCCCAUUAAAAGGGAUCGUGAGAUGGGUUUAGACCGUCGUGAGACAGGUUUGUUGCUCCCCGCUAGAAGUGUUAGGCGCUUGAGGGGAAGGACCCUUUAGUACGAGAGGAACAAGGGCUCGCAGCCUCUAGUUUACCAGUUGUCUGGCAAGGCAUCGCUGGGCAGCCACGCUGUAAGGGAUAAAGGCUGAAAGCAUCUAAGCCUGAAGCCUACCCUGAAAAGAAGCGCCAUUGAGAUUCCAGUAGAAGACUGGGUUAAUAGGAUUGGUGUGUAAGUAUCGAGGAUUAUUCCUACCAACCUCUUUUGCGGGAAAA
rnacentral:rRNA from 1 species